AUUCAGCUAACGAGUUGCAAAUAGGACGAAACGCACGUCUUGGAU
rnacentral:hammerhead_ribozyme from 1 species